rnacentral:rRNA from 2 species
UGGAUCCAGACUUUGAUUAUGGCUCAGGAUGAACGCUAGCUACAGGCUUAACACAUGCAAGUCGAGGGGCAGCAUGACGAUAGCUUGCUUUCGUUGAUGGCGACCGGCGCACGGGUGAGUAACGCGUAUCCAACCUGCCCUUGUCCAUCGGAUAACCCGUCGAAAGGCGGCCUAACACGAUAUGCAGUCCACAGAAGGCAUCUGACGCGGACGAAAUGUAAAGGAGAAGGAUGGGGAUGCGUCUGAUUAGCUUGUUGGCGGGGUAACGGCCCACCAAGGCGACGAUCAGUAGGGGUUCUGAGAGGAAGGUCCCCCACAUUGGAACUGAGACACGGUCCAAACUCCUACGGGAGGCAGCAGUGAGGAAUAUUGGUCAAUGGGCGAGAGCCUGAACCAGCCAAGUAGCGUGCAGGAAGACGGCCCUAUGGGUUGUAAACUGCUUUUAUGCGGGGAUAAAGUGAGCCACGUGUGGCUUAUUGCAGGUACCGCAUGAAUAAGGACCGGCUAAUUCCGUGCCAGCAGCCGCGGUAAUACGGAAGGUCCGGGCGUUAUCCGGAUUUAUUGGGUUUAAAGGGAGCGUAGGCCGUCUGAUAAGCGUGUUGUGAAAUGUCGGGGCUCAACCUGGGCAUUGCAGCGCGAACUGUGAGACUUGAGUGCGCGGGAAGUAGGCGGAAUUCGUCGUGUAGCGGUGAAAUGCUUAGAUAUGACGAAGAACUCCGAUUGCGAAGGCAGCCUGCUGUAGCGCAACUGACGCUGAAGCUCGAAAGCGUGGGUAUCGAACAGGAUUAGAUACCCUGGUAGUCCACGCGGUAAACGAUGGAUGCUCGCUGUUUGCGUCUGACGUAAGCGGCCAAGCGAAAGCGUUAAGCAUCCCACCUGGGGAGUACGCCGGCAACGGUGCAACUCAAAUGAAUUGACGGA